rnacentral:rRNA from 1 species
UACGGGGGGGGCAAGCGUUGUUCGGAAUUACUGGGCGUAAAGGGCUCGUAGGCGGCCAACUAAGUCAGACGUGAAAUCCCCAGGCUCAACCUGGGAACUGCGUCUGAUACUGGAUGGCUUGAAUCCGGGAGAGGGAUGCAGAAUUCCAGGUGUAGCGGUGAAAUGCGUAGAUAUCUGGAGGAAUACCGGUGGCGAAGGCGGCAUCCUGGACCGGCAUUGACGCUGAGGCACGAAAGCUGGGGGAGCGAACAGG